rnacentral:other from 1 species
UAGUCCCUGCGGUGUUCGAGAGCGACAAGUGUGUCUUGAGCCGAUAAGCAAAUUGCUCGGAGGCUGAAACAAGAUUGGUGUGCAGGCCCGCAAGACGGGAAGCCCGAUAGCUUGUUAAGGUCGCCACUUGAACCCAAUGGUUCAAGAACCCCGUUCGCAACGGCACUGUGGGGCAAAU